rnacentral:rRNA from 1 species
CAGACGAUGACGGUAGCCGGCUGAGAGGGCGAACCGGCACACUGGACUGAGACACGGCCCAGACUCUACGGGAGGCAGCAGUGGGGAAUAUUGCACAAUGGGCGAAAGCUGAUGCAGCGACGCCGCGUGGGGGAUGACGGCCUUCGGGUUGUAAACCUCUUUCAGUAGGGAAGAAGCGAAAGUGACGGUACCUGCAGAAGAAGCGCCGGCUAACUACGUGCCAGCAGCCGCGGUAAUACGUAGGGCGCAAGCGUUGUCCGGAAUUAUUGGGCGUAAAGAGCUCGUAGGUGGCUUGUCGCGUCUGCCGUGAAAACCCGAGGCUCAACCUCGGGCGUGCGGUGGGUACGGGCAGGCUAGAGUGUGGUAGGGGAGCCUGGAACUCCUGGUGUAGCGGUGAAAUGCGCAGAUAUCAGGAAGAACACCGAUGGCGAAGGCAGGUCUCUGGGCCAUUACUGACACUGAGGAGCGAAAGCAUGGGUAGCGAACAGGAUUAGAUACCCUGGUAGUCCAUGCCGUAAACGUUGGGCACUAGAUGUGGGGGACAUUCCACGUUUUCCGCGUCGUAGCUAACGCAUUAAGUGCCCCGCCUGGGGAGUACGGCCGCAAGGCUAAAACUCAAAGGAAUUGACGGGGGCCCGCACAAGCGGCGGAGCAUGCUGAUUAAUUCGAUGCAACGCGAAGAACCUUACCAAGGCUUGACAUGCACCGGACGGCCGCAGAGAUGUGGCUUUCUUCGGACUGGUGCACAGGUGGUGCAUGGUUGUCGUCAGCUCGUGUCGUGAGAUGUUGGGUUAAGUCCCGCAACGAGCGCAACCCUUGUUCUAUGUUGCCAGCACGUCAUGGUGGGGACUCAUAGGAGACUGCCGGGGUCAACUCGGAGGAAGGUGGGGACGACGUCAAAUCAUCAUGCCCCUUAUGUCUUGGGCUUCAAGCAUGCUACAAUGGUCGGUACAAUGGGUUGCGAAACUGUGAGGUGGAGCGAAUCCCAAAAAGCCGGCCUCAGUUCGGAUUGGGGUCUGCAACUCGACCCCAUGAAGUCGGAGUCGCUAGUAAUCGCAGAUCAG